AACAAGGUUUCCGUAGGUGAACGUGCGGAAGGAUCAUUGU
rnacentral:rRNA from 1 species